AGCGAAAGGGUGGGGAGCAAACAGGMUUAGAUACCUUGGUAGUCCACCCMGUAAACGUUGGGAACUAGUUGUGGGGUCCAUUCCACGGAUUCCGUGACGCAGCUAACGCAUUAAGUUCCCCGCCUGGGGAGUACGGCCGCAAGGCUAAAACUCAAAGGAAUUGACGGGGACCCGCACAAGCGGCGGAGCAUGCGGAUUAAUUCGAUGCAACGCGAAGAACCUUACCAAGGCUUGACAUAUAGAGGAAACGUCUGGAAACAGUCGCCCCGCAAGGUCUCUAUACAGGUGGUGCAUGGUUGUCGUCAGCUCGUGUCGUGAGAUGUUGGGUUAAGUCCCGCAACGAGCGCAACCCUCGUUCUAUGUUGCCAGCACGUAAUGGUGGGAACUCAUGGGAUACUGCCGGGGUCAACUCGGAGGAAGGUGGGGAUGACGUCAAAUCAUCAUGCCCCUUAUGUCUUGGGCUUCACGCAUGCUACAAUGGCCGGUACAAAGGGCUGCAAUACCGUGAGGUGGAGCGAAUCCCAAAAAGCCGGUCCCAGUUCGGAUUGAGGUCUGCAACUCGACCUCAUGAAGUCGGAGUCGCUAGUAAUC
rnacentral:rRNA from 1 species